rnacentral:rRNA from 1 species
AUUGAACGCUGGCGGCAGGCCUAACACAUGCAAGUCGAACGAGUGGCGGACGGGUGAGUAAUGUCUGGGAAACUGCCCGCUGGCGGGGGAUAACUACUGUAAACAGUAGCUAAUACCGCAUACCAUCGGAUGUGCCCCGAGGGGAUUAGCUAGUGGGUGGGGUAACGGCUCACCUAGGCGACGAUCCCUAGCUGGUCUGAGAGGAUGAGCAGCCACACUGGAACUGAGACACGGUCCAGACUCCUACGGGAGGCAGCAGUGGGGAAUAUUGCACAAUGGGCGAAAGCCUGAUGCAGCCAUGCCGCGUGUAUGAAGAAGGCCUUCGGGUUGUAAAGCACUUUCAGCGAGGAGGCGUUACUCGCAGAAGAAGCACCGGCUAACUCCGUGCCAGCAGCCGCGGUAAUAC